rnacentral:rRNA from 1 species
UACAGAGGUCUCAAGCGUUGUUCGGAUUCAUUGGGCGUAAAGGGUGCGUAGGCGGCGCGGUAAGUCGGGUGUGAAAUCUCGGGGCUUAACUCCGAAACUGCAUUCGAUACUACCGUGCUUGAGGACUGGAGAGGAGACUGGAAUUUACGGUGUAGCGGUGAAAUGCGUAGAUAUCGUAAGGAAGACCAGUGGCGAAGGCGGGUCUCUGGACAGUUCCUGACGCUGAGGCACGAAGGCCCAGGGGGAGCAAACGGG